rnacentral:rRNA from 1 species
AAUCAGGUAGGACUACCCGCUGAACUUAAGCAUAUCAAUAAGCGGAGGAAAAGAAACCAACAGGGAUUGCCUUAGUAACGGCGAGUGAAGCGGCAAGAGCUCAAAUUUGAAAUCUGGCACUUUCAGUGUCCGAGUUGUAAUUUGAAGAAGGCAGUCUUGGUAGUCAACCUUGUCUAUGUUCCUUGGAACAGGACGUCACAGAGGGUGAGAAUCCCGUGCGAUGAGGAUUGGCUGCUAUGUAAGGCGCUUUCGAAGAGUCGAGUUGUUUGGGAAUGCAGCUCUAAGUGGGUGGUAAAUUCCAUCUAAAGCUAAAUAUUGGCGAGAGACCGAUAGCGAACAAGUACAGUGAUGGAAAGAUGAAAAGAACUUUGAAAAGAGAGUGAAACAGUACGUGAAAUUGUUGAAAGGGAAGGGCUUGAGAUUAGACUUGGUUUUGCUCAAUCAUUUCUCCUUGUGGGAGGUGCUCUUGGCUUUACCGGGCCAGCAUCGGUUUUGAUGGCGGGAUAAGAACGUUUGAAUGUGGCCCCUCGGGGUGUUAUAGCUUUCGUUGAUACCGCCUAUUGGGACCGAGGACUGCGUCUUUGACAAGGAUGCUGGCGUAAUGAUCUUAAGCCGCCCGUCUUG